AAAUGGAAAUAAAGAGAAAAGAAGAAGAAAAACAAAGAAGGGUUUCCCCAUUUCCAAAGGCUUUAUUGGUAAGAAAGCUAGAUCCUUUUACUUUAUUGGAAUGAGGGGCCAUGCCCAGGGGCACAUCCUGGGUACCAAAGGGGACUACCACUUUGCCUGCCUUUCUUUCAUUGGCCCGUCAGGCACAGAUUUAUAGUCAACAAAGGCUUUUGAUUUAAACCACAGACUGACUUUUUUUUCUCCCCCAGAAUCACUGAGUUGAAUGCUAUCCCUGCCAACUCUCAUGCAGAUGUCUCCCAACGAUGCCUGGCUUGGGUUCUGCUGGAUCAGCUUCCCCGAGUCUGGCUCACGCAGUGUUCAUCGCAGUCGGUUCCUUCCAGACCAGCAGAGACCUAAGUCUUGAGUUCACACACACCUCAGGGUGAAUGGAUGCUCAGAUCAGUGUACCUCUACCCGGGUGUGUCUCUGAGGCCUGGAGACUUCAGGAGGAGAGUCAGAACCCUUAUUGCUUGAAGGACUGGAUGACCUUGGCCAUGCCUUGCUCUCCUGUUUUUCCAGACUCCUUAUCCAAUUGCUGGGAUUCUAGUUGUUCUAUGACAUCUGACGUGUUUCACACUCCCAACUUGGACCAGGCACAUUCCAUGUACUCAAGUACCACAUGUAGAAAUCCAUUGUGGACGACAUAAUGUAAGAGAAAAAAAAAAGCCUCUAUUCUCUGUGAGUUCGAGUGCCUCCUUGUAUUAACCUCGGCUUAUUAACAUAUGAUGUCCAGAGAAAGGAGCAAAUCAUGAAGGAAUUGUUUUAGAAUUUCAGCUUAAGUUUUUCUGUCUGCCAAUGACCUGUUUAAGCCAGGAAAUAUGUAGAUUGGACUUAAUGCCUCCUCUUUGGUGAGUUUCCAGUGUUAUGUUGUAACAGUUACCUCCCCUGUUGCUGGGUAGAAUGCCUGACUUCAGAACAUAAGGGAAGGGAUAUUUAUUCAGGUCCUGCCUAGUUCAGGGCCAACAGUCCAUCUUCCUGGGUGAAGCAUAGCAGCGGAAGCAGCUUGGUCCUCGGAGCUUGAAGCUGAGUGUUUUAGAUAGUGCCCACCCAGAAUCAGGGAAAGGACCGGAAGUAGGGCAUGACUGGAUCUUCCAGGCCUGCCCCUAACAUCCUCCAUACAUCAACUAGGUCCUGCAUCCCGGUGGUUCCACAGCCUUCCAAAACACACGAACCUGUGGGGCACAUUCUGAAUCUAGCCACAACAUGCAUCAGAGUUCUCAUCACAGACGAUGAUAUCUGUACAACCGAUUUCAUUUAUCUAAUACUUAUUUACUCAUUUAUUUGAUCCAUGGGACCUUACUAUGUAACUAUGGCUGUCCUGGAACUCGCUCUGUAGACCAGCCCGGCCUCGAACUCACAGAGAUCCGCCUGCCUCUGCCUCCCGAGUGCUGGGGUUAAAGGCGUGCGCCACCACGCCUGUUAGUUUUCUUUUAAAUGUGCAGUGUGACCAGCCAUCAUUCCUUCCCCACCCUGAUGGACUGACUGUAUCCCUUCAGUGAAAGGCAGAAUAAACCUGUCCUCUCUUA